rnacentral:rRNA from 1 species
CCUACGGGAGGCAGCAGUGGGGAAUAUUGCACAAUGGGCGCAAGCCUGAUGCAGCCAUGCCGCGUGUGUGAAGAAGGCCUUCGGGUUGUAAAGCACUUUCAGUAAGGAGGAAAGGUUAAGUGUUAAUAGCACUUAGCUGUGACGUUACUUACAGAAGAAGCACCGGCUAACUCCGUGCCAGCAGCCGCGGUAAUACGGAGGGUGCGAGCGUUAAUCGGAAUUACUGGGCGUAAAGCGUACGCAGGCGGUUUGUUAAGCGAGAUGUGAAAGCCCCGGGCUCAACCUGGGAACUGCAUUUCGAACUGGCAAACUAGAGUGUGAUAGAGGGUGGUAGAAUUUCAGGUGUAGCGGUGAAAUGCGUAGAGAUCUGAAGGAAUACCGAUGGCGAAGGCAGCCACCUGGGUCAACACUGACGCUCAUGUACGAAAGCGUGGGGAGCAAACAGGAUUAGAUACCCUGGUAGUCCACGCCGUAAACGAUGUCUACUAGAAGCUCGGGUCUUCGGACUUGUUUUUCAAAGCUAACGCAUUAAGUAGACCGCCUGGGGAGUACGGCCGCAAGGUUAAAACUCAAAGGAAUUGACGG